ACUCGUGGCGUGAGCAGAAUACAGUGACCCUGUAAGGCACUUUGUCCGUUCAUCAAGGCACCACAUUUUCUGGGCCGAACAAUGCACACUUCGCGCCUGGCGAAGCUCCUGCGUGCUGGGGAUCCCGAGGACCAUGAGCGGUUACUGCCCACUCCCUGCGGCGUUCCCAGCCCCGGGCAACCACAGAUCUACCUCUGUCCCUAAGGAUUUACCGAUGCUGGACCUUCCUUAUAAAUGGAAUGAUCCAACAGACUUGAAGUAAUUCAAACGAGGAACCACAACAACUUAAAUCCACGCCCAGCUUUGCCACUUAAAACCAGUGUCGUUAAGUAAGUCACCAUGCUGGCUGCAGCCUCGGUGUCUUCCAGGAUGAAGGGAGACGGUAUGCCUGCUCAGGUGCCUCGGCAGGACCGCUGCAUUAGGCGCACAGUCGCUGGUGUUGAUACUGAAAGGUCACGGGGUCUCUUCCCGGAGGAGGGUGACAAUACAGAAGUUUACCCUGUAAAGACCACAUGAACGGUAGCAGUGCAUCAUAAGUGCCACCUGUGCCAUUCCAGGACAGAGAAGCAGUCCUCAGACAAGGCCCCCCACCAAGCACCCUCAACAGGCUUCCCGCUUUCGGUGACCAGCUGAGCGGAGCUGGCGGACUGCAGCUGAAGAGCCCAUUAAACUGAUGGCGGGCCUUGGUGUUCCAGAGGCCGAGCCUCCUGCCACAGCCGCCAUCUCUCCUCUUUUGUGCUCCUUUUUGCCUCAUUUGCACUUCCACUGAAGCAUUCCUCGGCACGCUUCUAUGACCACAUUUACGAUGUGCAUCUUCUAAAGCAAAGACCAGGUCACAACUAGAGAGUGUGGCUGCGCUAACGGGGAUGCGGGGCCAGCGGCAGCUGUUCGCUGGGGCAGACCUCCCUCGUUCCACCAUAGACACUCCAAACACUGUGACUGUUUCUAAUGGGCCCUCCCAUCCUCCAGGUCUAUAGACGGUCGUCAUUUCCUAAACUCAUACCAUGGAGAAAGAAGACCUAAUUAUUCAAGAGCGACAAAAAGCAGGGCUCACUCACGCUGACGUAAUCCUUCAGGACGUAGCGUGCAGACCUCGGCUGGUCCGGCUGCCCGUGCG